rnacentral:rRNA from 1 species
AGUGAACGCUGGCGGCAUGCCUAACACAUGCAAGUCGAACGGCCGCACAGUAAGAGCUCGCUCUUACUGGUGGCGAGUGACGGACGGGUGAGGAAUACAUCGGAAUCUACUUUUUCGUGGGGGACAACGUGGGGACACUGAUGCUAACAGCGCAUAUGUUGUACGGGUUAAUUCAAGAGAGCUUGGCACCUUUCCCGACUCUUUUAGCUGGAUCCGCGCUGCAUUAGCUAGUUGGUAAGGUAACGGCUCACCAAGGCGACGAUGCCUGUCCGACCUGAGAGGGUGAUCCGCCCAACUGGAACUGAGACACGGUCCAGACUCCUAAGGGAGGCAGCAGUAGGGAAUCUUCGGCAAUGGGCGAAAGCCUGACGCAGCCAUGCCGCGUGGGUGAAGAAGGUCUUCGGGUUGUAAAACCCUUUUAUUAGGGAAGAAAAGAUGGGGGAUUAACUCCCCACUUUUUGACGGUACCCAAACAAAAAGCCACGGCUAACUUCGUG